GAUAAGAACGUAGUGAAAUGCGAUAAGUAAUGUGAAUUGCAGAAUUCAGUGAAUCAUCGAAUCUUUGAACGCACAUUGCGCCCGCCAGUAUUCUGGCGGGCAUGCCUGUUCGAGCGUCAUUUCAACCAUCAAGCCCCCGGCUUGUGUUGGGGACCUGCGGCUGCCGCAGGCCCUGAAAAGCAGUGGCGGGCUCGCUGUCACACCGAGCGUAGUAGCAUACAUCUCGCUCUGGGCGUGCUGCGGGUUCCGGCCGUUAAACCACCUUCAUAACCCAAGGUUGACCUCGGAUCAGGUAGGAAGACCCGCUGAAUUUAAGCAUAUCAAUAAGCGGAGGA
rnacentral:misc_RNA from 1 species